GACGUAGGGUGCGAGCGUUGUCCGGAUUUAUUGGGCGUAAAGAGCUCGUAGGCGGCUCGUCGCGUCGACCGUGAAAACCCGCGGCUUAACUGCGGGCUUGCGGUUGAUACGGGCGGGCUAGAGUUUGGUAGGGGAGACUGGAAUUCCUGGUGUAGCGGUGAAAUGCGCAGAUAUCAGGAGGAACACCGGUGGCGAAGGCUGGUCUCUGGGCUGACACUGACGCUCAUGCACGAAAGCGUGGGGAGCAAACAGG
rnacentral:rRNA from 1 species